UUGUAUUUUGCAAAAGGUUUCGGUUUUGGAAGCUAUGUUUCGGCUUUUCUCCAUCUUGGUCGUGCCAUAGAUAGUAGCACGAUGGGACUGUGGCGAGACAGCAAAGUUAAAUAAAAGCAUGAUCCAUGUAGUAUUUUGGUAGCUCUGAGAUGUUGAAACCAAAUCAGGAAGGGACAUACUAUAGCGAUUUUUUUCCUCGUUAUCUAGUUGUCCAAUAACACUUAAAACUUUGAACUUUUCUUGGUUGAUUAGUUCAUGUUGUUUAAACAUUUUUUGGUUUGACAUUUGUUCGGAAUGCUUCAAUGUUUAGAUAUUUGUCUAUUAUGAUCGUCG
rnacentral:lncRNA from 1 species